GAUGAACGCUGGCGGCGUGCCUAAUACAUGCAAGUCGAGCGAACAGAUGAGGAGCUUGCUCCUCUUACGUUAGCGGCGGACGGGUGAGUAACACGUGGAUAACCUACCUAUAAUACUGGGAUAACUUCGGGAAACCGGAGCUAAUACCGGAUAAUAUAUUGAACCGCAUGGUUCAAUAGUGAAAGACGGUUUUGCUGUCACUUAUAGAUUGUUCCGCGCCGCAUUAGCUAGUUGGUAAGGUAACGGCUUACCAAGGCAACGAUGCGUAGCCGACCUGAGAGGGUGAUCGGCAACACUGGAACUGAGACACGGACCAGACUCCUACGGGAGGCAGCAGUAGGGAAUCUUCCGCAAUGGGCGAAAGCUUGACGGAGCAACGCCGCGUGAGUGAUGAAGGUCUUCGGAUCGUAAAACUCUGUUAUUAGGGAAGAACAAAUGUGUAAGUAACUAUGCACGUCUUGACGGUACCUAAUCAGAAAGCCACGGCUAACUACGUG
rnacentral:rRNA from 1 species